GACGAACCGAGCGACCGUUGUUCGGAUUCAUUGGGCGUAAAGGGUGCGUAGGCGGCGCGGUAAGUCGGGUGUGAAAUCUCGGAGCUUAACUCCGAAACUGCAUUCGAUACUGCCGUGCUUGAGGACUGGAGAGGAGACUGGAAUUUACGGUGUAGCGGUGAAAUGCGUAGAUAUCGUAAGGAAGACCAGUGGCGAAGGCGGGUCUCUGGACAGUUCCUGACGCUGAGGCACGAAGGCCAGGGGAGCAAACGGG
rnacentral:rRNA from 1 species